CCCUCUAGCUAGCACUGCCCUGAGGGAGCGGGUAGGGCAGGCAGGUGGGCCGUCCACCACCCUCUUCUUCCCGCCUCUCUGGCUCCUAUUUCGGGGUUGGGCUGGAGUCUCUGUGUCCCACCCCAGCUUACCCCAGGACGUGAAGUUCUGGCAUCCAGGUCUCCAGCAACACCCUGGACACCCAGACAAGGGGAGAAUAGGCUGCAUCUCCAACGCUUCCUGGACUGGACCCUCCCAGAGAUGCUGAAUCUGAAUCUAAAUGUUUAAAGGAAACUUGCCCAAGGUCAUAAGGCUAAUAAAUGGAAGAGCCAGGAUUCAAACCUAGAGAUCUUGUGUAGGGGCCCUGACUCUACGCUCCUGCCCUGCCAAGGACUCCAGGGAUUCCCGUUACUGGUUUUGGUCUCAUGGAUCCUACCGCCACAAGGGCUUUUGGAAUUGCCCUACUGUCUCUAGACUCUAAUCUCAGCCUCAGAGAAAUCCCCUCAUCUUUUCUCCCAGAAGGCUUCUGUUAAGCCUUCUUGCAAAUAAAGUUCUUGAUGGCCUCUC